CCCUUUUGAAGUGAAGCCUUCUCCUUCCAAAAAGUUUCGGUCUGGCUCAUCUUUCUCUCGGCGAGCAGGCUCCAGUGGCAACUCCUGCAUUACUUACCAGCCAUCGGUCUCUGGGGAACACAAGGCACAAGUGACAACAAAGGCGGAAGUGGAGCCAGGCGUUCACCUUGGUCGUCCUGAUGUUUUACCUCAGACUCCACCUUUGGAGGAAAUCAGUGAGGGCUCGCCUAUUCCUGACCCCAGUUUCUCACCUCUAGUUGGAGAGACUUUGCAAAUGCUAACUACAAGUACAACCUUGGAAAAGCUUGAAGUUGCAGAGUCAGAGUUCACCCAUUAAGCUCAAAGCCUCAGAAGACCUGGAACAAGAUUCUGCCAUCUCUGUGAUCCCAAGAUGUCAGCCCUUGCCCCCCAGCAAUGCUGAAUUUUCUUCUACUUGGUCAUCAAAAAAGGAGUGUAAUAGAAGCGAGGGGAGCUGCUCCUCCAUCUUCUUCCUAAAGAAGAACCUCCUCUCCUUCCCCUUCCUCAUGAAUGGGCAUUAGUGCCUCAGAGAGUUGAGGACCGCAGCAUCCCCUCCACUCCAGAGUUGGGUGGUACGGAUUUUCAACUGGCUAACCCUUGGCCUCCACAAUUGAAUUUUUUUCAGACCCCCAUUCUUCAUGCUGGAAAUGGGAUUGCUGGACUUGGCAGCUUUCUUUCCCCUCGUCUUUGACCAGGAACUGGACUCUUAAUUUCCUCAGGACAGACUAGCUGGCACAUUAUCCCCACCUUAGUUCUUUCUCUCUGAUCCCUGGAAGAAUACUCCUGUAAUCUUUGUAAAGGUUUUUGGGGGAUAAGGGUGUUUAACCACCUCCCAGCUUUCUUCUUUUUUUUUUUUUUCCUGAAAAAAGGAAAAAGCGCACAGCACACAAUUUCAAGCCAUUUUCAGAUCAGAACUCCAGAAGUGUUGAGAAGAUGCCUA
rnacentral:sRNA from 1 species